GCUGGCGGCAUGCCUAACACAUGCAAGUCGAACGGUAACGCGGAGAGCUUGCUCUCUGGCGACGAGUGGCGGACGGGUGAGUAAUACUUAGGAAUCUGCCCAGUAGUGGGGGACAACAUUCGGAAACGGAUGCUAAUACCGCAUACGCACUACGGUGGAAAGUGGGGGACCUUCGGGCCUCACGCUAUUGGAUGAGCCUAAGUCGGAUUAGCUUGUUGGUAGGGUAAUGGCCCACCAAGGCGACGAUCCGUAGCUGGUCUGAGAGGACGAUCAGCCACACUGGGACUGAGACACGGCCCAGACUCCUACGGGAGGCAGCAGUGGGGAAUAUUGGACAAUGGGCGCAAGCCUGAUCCAGCAAUGCCGCGUGUGUGAAGAAGGCCUGCGGGUUGUAAAGCACUUUCAGUAGAGAAGAAAAGCUUAGGGUUAAUAACCCUGAGUCUUGACGUAACCUACAGAAGAAGCACCGGCUAACUCCGUGCCAGCAGCCGCGGUAAUACGGAGGGUGCGAGCGUUAAUCGGAAUUACUGGGCGUAAAGCGCGCGUAGGCGGCUUUGUAAGUCGGAUGUGAAAGCCCUGGGCUUAACCUGGGAAUUGCAUUCGAUACUGCAGAACUA
rnacentral:rRNA from 1 species